rnacentral:rRNA from 1 species
GUAGGUGGCAGGCGUUGUCCGGAAUUAUUGGGCGUAAAGCGCGCGCAGGCGGUCCUUUAAGUCUGAUGUGAAAGCCCACGGGCUCAACCGUGGAGGGUCAUUGGAAACUGGUGGACUUGAGUACAGAAGAGGAAAGCGGAAUUCCAAGUGUAGCGGUGAAAUGCGUAGAGAUUUGGAGGAACACCAGUGGCGAAGGCGGCUUUCUGGUCUGUAACUGACGCUGAGGCGCGAAAGCGUGGGGAGCAAACAGGAUUAGAUACCCUGGUAGUCCACGCCGUAAACGAUGAGUGCUAAGUGUUAGGGGGUUUCCGCCCCUUAGUGCUGCAGCUAACGCAUUAAGCACUCCGCCUGGGGAGUACGGCCGCAAAGGCUG